AUUGAACGCUGGCGGCAGGCCUAACACAUGCAAGUCGAACGGUAGCACAGAGAGCUUGCUCUCGGGUGACGAGUGGCGGACGGGUGAGUAAUGUCUGGGAAACUGCCCGAUGGAGGGGGAUAACUACUGGAAACGGUAGCUAAUACCGCAUAACGUCUUCGGACCAAAGUGGGGGACCUUMGGGCCUCACACCAUCGGAUGUGCCCAGAUGGGAUUAGCUAGUAGGUGGGGUAACGGCUCACCUAGGCGACGAUCCCUAGCUGGUCUGAGAGGAUGACCAGCCACACUGGAACUGAGACACGGUCCAGACUCCUACGGGAGGCAGCAGUGGGGAAUAUUGCACAAUGGGCGCAAGCCUGAUGCAGCCAUGCCGCGUGUAUGAAGAAGGCCUUCGGGUUGUAAAGUACUUUCAGUGGGGAGGAAGGCGAUGAAGUUAAUAACUUCGUCGAUUGACGUUACCCGCAGAAGA
rnacentral:rRNA from 1 species